CCGCCGCCGCUGCCGCCGCUGCCGCCGCCGCCGUCGCCGCCGCCGCCCUGAGUCACUGCCUGCGCAGCUCCGGCCGCCCGGCUCCGCGUCCGAGCCUCCUGGAACGGUAUUUGGAGUUCUUACAAGAUGGCAGACAUUGACAACAAAGAACAGUCUGAACUUGAUCAAGAUUUGGAAGAUGUUGAAGAAGUAGAAGAAGAAGAAACGGGUGAAGAAACAAAAAUCAAAGCACGUCAGCUAACUGUUCAGAUGAUGCAGAAUCCUCAGAUUCUUGCAGCUCUUCAGGAAAGACUUGAUGGUCUGGUAGACACACCAACAGGAUACAUUGAAAGCUUGCCUAAGGUAGUCAAAAGACGAGUGAAUGCUCUCAAGAAUCUUCAAGUUAAAUGUGCACAGAUAGAAGCCAAAUUCUAUGAGGAAGUUCAUGAUCUCGAGAGGAAGUAUGCUGUUCUCUAUCAGCCUUUAUUUGAUAAGCGAUUUGAGAUCAUUAAUGCAAUUUAUGAACCUACAGAAGAAGAAUGUGAAUGGAAACCAGAUGAGGAAGAUGAAGUUUCGGAGGAGCUGAAAGAAAAGGCCAAGAUUGAAGAUGAGAAGAAGGAUGAAGAAAAAGAAGACCCUAAAGGAAUUCCAGAAUUUUGGUUGACAGUUUUUAAGAAUGUUGAUUUGCUCAGUGAUAUGGUUCAGGAACAUGAUGAACCAAUUCUGAAGCAUUUGAAAGAUAUUAAAGUGAAGUUUUCGGAUGCUGGCCAGCCUAUGAGUUUUAUCUUAGAAUUUCACUUUGAACCCAAUGAAUAUUUCACAAAUGAAGUGUUAACAAAGACUUACAGGAUGAGGUCAGAACCAGAUGAUUCUGAUCCUUUUUCUUUUGAUGGACCAGAAAUUAUGGGUUGUACAGGGUGCCAGAUAGAUUGGAAAAAAGGAAAGAAUGUUACUUUGAAAACCAUUAAGAAGAAACAGAAACACAAGGGACGUGGGACAGUUCGUACUGUGACUAAAACAGUUUCCAAUGAUUCUUUCUUUAAUUUUUUUGCUCCACCUGAAGUUCCUGAGAAUGGAGAUUUGGAUGAUGAUGCUGAGGCGAUACUGGCUGCAGACUUUGAAAUUGGUCACUUUUUACGUGAGCGUAUAAUCCCAAGAUCAGUGUUAUACUUCACUGGAGAAGCUAUUGAGGACGAUGACGAUGAUUAUGAUGAAGAAGGUGAAGAAGCUGAUGAGGGUUAUCAGCUCUUUGAAGAAGUCAAAAGCUGCAGUAAACUUUUUCAACGUUGGCUGCAGUAAAUCUUUUCAAUAAAAGCUGUCUGGAUGGUCUCAAGUUGUGUUGGGAAAUUUUUCAUAUUAGAAGCUUUCAAAUUAAAUUGUAUUAUCAACAAACUCUGUAAUCAUGAAAAUCUGUUGACCCAUAGAGUAUCUUGUAUAAAAUUUCCAUACAUUAUAAACCAGUUUUUCUCUAGUAUGUACUUACUUCAUGGAUGCAUUUUGAACUUUAAUAUAGGAAGGGGAAGAAGAAGGAGAUGAGGAAAACGAUCCAGACUAUGACCCAAAGAAGGAUCAAAACCCAGCCGAGUGCAAGCAGCAGUGAGCAGUGACUGGCCUUGAGGACGGCCUCCCUGUAAUAGCCUAAACAUGACCCAUUUACUUACA